GUAGUCUCGCACAGAUGCAUAUCAAUAAGCGGAGGAAAAGAGACUAACAAGGAUUCCCCUAGUAACGGCGAGUGAAGCGGGAAGAGCUCAAAUUUGAAAUCUUAAAGGGUUUCCCUUUACGAAUUGUAGUUUAAAGAAGUGUUUUCUGUUGAGGUUUUGGUAAAAGUUCUUUGGAAUAGGACAUCAUAGAGGGUGAGAAUCCCGUAUUUGACCUUUACUUUCAACUUUGUGAUACACUUUCAAAGAGUCGGAUUGUUUGGGAAUGCAGUCCAAAAUGGGUGGUAAAUUUCAUCUAAAGCUAAAUAUUGGCGAGAGACCGAUAGCGAACAAGUACCGUGAGGGAAAGAUGAAAAGAACUUUGAAAAGAGAGUUAAACAGUACGUGAAAUUGUCAAAAGGGAAGCGUUUGACACCAGUGUUGUUUUUCUGAAAAUCAAUUAAAGAACUGUUUAUGCUAAGCUGUUUAGACUUUAUCAGCUAUCUGUUUAGUUUUGAGCUUUUCUUUAAUGCACUUUUCAGUUAACAAGUCAACAUCAAUUUCUUUUGCUGUAAAAAAGCUUGAGGAAGGUGGCUUGAGAUUCGUCUUAAGUGUUUAUAGCCUCUUGCCUAUGCAGUCGGAGAGAUUGAGGUCUGCAGCGUAGAUCCUUCGGGGCUAAAUGCAUUUGUGCUAAGUUAUAGCAUUUUAUAGACAACUUGUUGACUAUGAUUUGUCUUGUAGCUUACUCGCUUAUGUUAUUUUACCUACGCUUAGGAUGUUGACGCGCGUGUGUGCGUG
rnacentral:rRNA from 1 species